rnacentral:lncRNA from 1 species
UCCUCCUCCCCCUCACAAUGAGCGGGAAGAAGUCAAGAAGGACUGAGGGAGGGACACAGUGGGGGAUAGGUCAGAGAAAGAGAGACUCCAGAGCUGCAUAAAGGGGCGAGUAGAUUUAUUGGGCGCCUGCUAUGUGCCAGGCACUGUGCAAGACGCCUUAUAUACAUUACCUCAUUAAAUCCUCACAACAACCCUGCGAGGUAGGUGUUUAUAAACCCCCAUUUGACAGAUGAGGAAACUGAGGCUCAGGGAGGUGAAGUGAUUUGGCCAAGGUCACAUGGCUAAUAAAUGGCAGACACAGAGGAAGUGCCCAGGGUUGGAAAGAAAGAAAAGAAAAAGAAAAAAGAAGAAGAAGAAGAAGAAAGGCUUAAAUGUCAGUCUCAAACCGGUUGGCGUGGAUUAAUACAAAGAAGGGCUCGGCGCGCCCCAGAAGUCUGGGAGGCCGGAGGCCUGCUCCCGGCCCCGCGCGCGGUUUGGAGGUGUCAAGGCAGGAAACCGGCGCCGGUAACUAGGGAUCCAGAUAACUGGCAGUGCUGGUGUAGGGGCACUCGAGCACCAGCAACCGGGGGAAUCCGCGACCUGCGCGCGCCCCGUAGUGGCUACAGCGAGUAUCACACCCCGCACCGUCUGCUGAAAAAUCCACCUUCCUCCUUGCCUGGCUGUUUUCCUUGGAGAGACACAGAAAUUGUCAAGGUCCUAUCCGGUGGGCGAUACCGUCUGCGUGGAAAAUCCCGGUAACACUUCAGAGCGUCACUAAGGACACGGAGAUGGAGGAGAAGGGGAAGGCCUAAAAGUGUCCCAAGCUGAUUCAUUGGCUACCUUCCCUCUCCAGCUUGGGCCACAGCAGGCUAGAGGCAGUGAGAGGGCCAUGAUCCUGCUCGGCUGUGGGAGCACUCACCUAAACUGGGAAAAUUGGAAUAGAAGCCCUUUGUCCGUUUAAAUCUGAAGACCUUGACAGUCUUCCGAACUGAGGAUGACCGAAGUGGGUAAGAACCCUCAGAUUCUCUCUACUCGCUUAUUCACAAAAUCCUAGGGACAAAAGAAUGGGAGGCAGAAAGCGCUCAUUUUACAUUUACAGAAGUCCGGGAUGCCCGGGCGCAAAAAUAGUUACUCUGAGGUCCACCAGCUAGGUCAGUGGCAGAGUUGGAAUUGAAACUUGAGUUGUAACAUCAAAGAGAGCCCUCUCGCCAGGUUGCUGGUUGUGUGUAUGCAUUCAUUUCUUCUCUGCCCAAAGUUCCUCUGUCUCCUCCACUCAGUCACUAGGUUCAAGGCCUCUCCAUUACUUUUUCUCUCCUGUCAGGGACCCUGCCCUGCCCAUCGCAGGCACCAUCCCUGCCCCUUCUCUUUCUCUGUCGGAACAGUUCCACACCGAAUGUAGCAGGUGUGGAUGGCCCACCCACACUUUCCCUGAAACUAACCCUUGAGUUGGCAGACGCUACCUUCCCUGGUUCCUCCUCUCUCCUCUGUUUCAAGUGUGGGAACAGGUAUAGGUGGGAAAGAAGAAAAGGAAGCAAACGAAGCCUGGAGAGAGAGAAGGAGCAGGUGAGCCCAGGGUGGAUGGGCUGAGCGACACGAGAACAAAGAGGGGCAUCGCUCACUCCCUCUCUCUAUUUCCCUGUGGCGUUUUCCUGGUGUCCUCUCGGAUGAAGCCUUCCUCGGUUUGACUGAUGACAUCCACAAUCUCCCGGAUACUGUCGCUCAGCCCUGCUGUCUUCCCGCCUUCCCUGGGCCGGGUGUUCCCAAGCGCAGGCAGGGUCCUCUCAUUCCGCCAGGAGGCGCCUGGGGCGUCUGUGUCGCUUCCAUCAGAGGAGCCGCUAUGGACGCUGAGAUCCUCCGCUUCGUCUGAGUCCGAAUCUGGGGCGGUGUGGCGGCGGAUGCGGGACACGGCUUCUCGCAACGCCCCGGCGUAGGGCCCUGGAGUCCGCGCCCAGCCCCCGCCCGCGCGCCGCGGGACACCAGCCGCUUCUGAGCCCUUCAAGCUGCCGGCGCAUACCGGAGCCGCUGGGCCUAAGGUCGGGUGCUCUUGGCUACCUGGCUGCGUGGGGGCGUCUCGCGGGUUCACUUCUCCGACAGGGAACCCCAAACCGCUGGAGGAGCGCUCCUCCAAUGAAGAAUCCCCCUGCUGUCCGACCUCGGCCUCGCACUCGCGACCCUCGCUCGGUUGGUUUAAGACUCGACUGCUCAACAGUCGCUUUUGGCAAACUGAAGGGUUGGCAGCGGCCCCCUCGCCCUCCUCCUCGUGACAGGGCUUGGGUUGACUAAGGCUGUCGCUCACACUGCACGACUCCCCAGAGGGCACGAGCUGACCCUGCUGGGUUCGAGGGGUCGGAACGUACUGGGACUUUAUCACCACGCAUGUGGCGUCAAUGACAAAGAUGCCUUCUCUACCAGCGGGACCUCGGGAAAUGCGGGGCAGGGUGUGGGCACGGCGGGUCACCUUCCAAACUUCCAGGGUCUCAUGUUCUGCCCCCUCUCUUUGACCCAGGGACUCUUUCCACCCGGUGCCUCCAGGAGCCCAGGGUCUAGGGAGCGUCUGGCUGUGCCUAACUGGAGGCUUUUUAGGGGAGGCAAGCCAACACGUGGGAAGCCAUAUCUGCUCACUUCCUUCUUUCCCUUUCCUUGACCCCCUGAGGUGCUGCCUGGACCUGGGAACAGGACGAGGUGGGCUGCUGAUCGCGGACCUAGAGAGAGCUGCGUCCGUGCCUGGACCGCCAGUCGUUUUGCCUUGGGAAUGACUAUCGCCAGCACUGUUCAGGCCAGCAGCAACUAGGCCUGAGCUUUUCUCUAUAGCCCCUUUGCAAGACUCUGGCCUAGCUCUGGCUGCUGUACAGCCUGGAGCACCUCCUAAGAGUCCCCGUCCCUGUCUGAGACCCCAAGCUCCUAGAACAUCCCGGUAGAUUCGAGGAUCCAGCCUCUUCUUCGUGCGCCCUCCCUCUGUCCUGGUGGUGGCUGGAACUGGGGCUGAUGAGGUGGGCGCCCGGGAGAGCUCCGGGCCUCGCUUAGUCCCCAGGGUCCUGUGGGGACCUUCAUAAGAAGGUGGAGCCACAUAGGGUGGCGGCCGGUCCCAGCGGCGCCUUGGGGCUGUGCCUGCAGAGCCUCUCAACAGCAGGUGAGCCUCGUAGCUAGGGGGCCCUGGCCUUCUGCCUCCCCAUGGCCCCGCCCAUGCAACCCCUGGGUCACCCUGCGGGAGCACGGAUGGUCGGGGCGCUCGCCCCACCUGCCCGAAGCGCUCUGGUCUGGAGAAAACUGGAAACCCUGUAGGUUGGGCUGCCCGAAGGGCGUUCCGGGGCUCUGGGCGGGGCUGACCUAGGGGACUCCGUCGGGCCCCGCCAGCCUUGCGCCUUUUUCUCUCGGUCUCCUUGGCCUCCCGCUCCUGCGACGCCGCCUUUCUUUUCUCUUGUUCCCGGGCUCGGACCUCGGCGGGGGGGCCCGCCCGCCAGUUGGUUGCCUCCUGCAGCACCCUGGAGGCCCAGGGUCGGCGGGGUGGCGGCUCAGGGGAUCCCGGGCGCAGCCUACACCUGGGACAAUGAGCAGGAACCCAGGUGAGCAGUUUGCGGGGACAGAGAGCCGAGGUCCGGGGAGCUGGGAGCACUGGAGACCACUUGGGGCAGCCAUGUGGGAGGGUUCGUGUGAGUGUCUGAGCGAGUGCACGUGCGUAUAUGUUAGGGCUAAAGUCGAAAUGAGACUCCUCGCCAUCUCUCCAUGCACACUUUAACAGCGACUGCCCCCAUCUCACCGCCUGCCACUAGUACUCCUGUCCCCCUAAACAGCGCUCAAUGAUUCAGGCCCCAGUCCUCGACGAGUGGGGGGAGGGAGGCGCGGGAAAGAGAAGGGAACAGCAGCAAUUGCUGGUGCCAGCGGGGAGGUCUGGACCCCACUUCCCGCCCCACCACUUGCUGCCCCUCACCCCUCCUUCACUCACGUGCGGCUCUGGGGCCCACGGGCCCAGUAGCUGGCCUGGAUGUCCAUGGACUGUCGAGAAGGAGCGCGACGACUAUAAUGACAGGAAAUAGUCUUCACUUCAAUCACCAACAGCUUGGACUUCUGCACCCAGAGGCAGCUGCCGGACUCCUCAUCCUGGAGCUCCCGGGGGCUGUCGGGCCCCUCGGAGAAUAACGGGCCAUCCAGCAUCCUGCCCCACCCCACCCCGGCCCCCCACCCUCCCACCCGCCCCGUGAGCCCCCUCCCAACCCAGGGAGCCGGCGCCCACUGCAGAGCGGCAGGCCCAGGGACUGGCAACUAUAUAUACCCGGGCACACGUGUGUGCCUGUCUGUGCGUGUGUGAGUGUGUGCUAGCGCGCGAGCGCGCGCGCAUGUGACACGCCGCCGUGGACGGCUCCGCGCUGCUUCCUCCCCCAUGUGCACGGCCGCCCCCUGGGGCCUGGGAUUGGACGCCCCUUCCCACUCACUGCUCAGGUCCCCCAAGCCUAAUGGGACCUGCGAGUGGGCGGGGAGAGACUUCUGAUUCUUGCCAAGCUUACGGUGCCCUCUCCUCCAGCCCCCAUUUCUUCAUCCUUCCCGAAGUUUUAACCCUUUGCUUUCCUGCUUGUCAGGUUGCCUGACCACCAGUGCUCUCUCUAUUCCUGCCUGCUCGCCCAGACUCCUUUCUCCGACAGGGAGUGGUGAGAACAGAACUCAAGAUUCGCCACAAAAAGCAUUAAUCUUGGCUACCUACCCACCGCCCUCCUCCACAUAGCCAUCUGCCUUCGUCUGCACAGCACAAGAACCCGGACGCGCCUCCCUAGACUCAUGGGAAGGACUGACAGCAAAUGGGCCCAGCCUCCUCCACACAGUGAAACAAGACGAAUAAAAAUAUUUUACCGAGACUUGUGCAGAGCUAUUAUCUUAGGUGGAGUAAGGGCAGGGGCAGAGCAGGGUGUGGUGAGGUCUAGGGAUCUCGUAGAGAUCAGAAUCUACCCGAGGAGCACAAAGCCCGUGGCUCACCCAGAAGGGGGCUGCGGCAGGCGCGGGCCUGGACUGGCUGGGCUGACGUUCUCUCCAGUGUAACAGGACGGUCAGGGAGGCUGACAGUCCUCCUCCUUUCCCCUUCUCUAGCUCUAGACAGUGGGCGUGGAGCUCCUGAGAGAAGACUCAGUUCUCCCAGGAUUCCAUCUGAUUCCCAGAGCUUCCAGCAGGCAGGCAGUGAGGGGGCCACCUCCCCAGGCACCGCCUGUUCUUCCCCAUGCUCAGGGCUUCUUCUCUCCACCCGUGAGCACCAGAGCCUGUAAGAUGUCAGACAGCGAAACGAUGCCCUUGACCACGUCGUGUUCAUCCACCACCACCAGACGGUGAACCUGGCCCAGAGGAACAGCAAGUAACGUCAGUGCCAGCUCCAGUUCGGGUAACUGCCUCGACCUGACCCUCUCAGGGCCACUCCCCGCUGGCUGCUUGAGGGUGGCCAGCAUCCUACCUCUGCCUCCACCAGCCUAUUGAUGAUGGUUUCCAGAGUCUCAUGCAGGUAGCAUUUGAGAACACCCUCAAAGUAGUGGGACCGAUGCUGCAGGGCUUUUGUCACAGACACAUCUAGGUUGUUGUAGGUCUUUUCGGCUGCCAAAUUCUGGAAAGGUGGGGGUUUGGGGGGCGGGACUUGAAAGGGGGUCAGGUCCCAAACCUUGGACCAACCCAGCCUCACUAGAGGGAGUGAGUGAGGGCGCUCCUUAGCUCUGCUCACAAGCCCACAGUUCUGUCAGCCACUUGUUCAGGUAAGAUUCAAAGCCAAGAAGCACCCAAGGCAGAGAAGACCCCCUUCUGCACAUCCCCCCUCUCCACAUCCAACACCCCUCCCCUCCCUCCCUCCCAGCCCCGCCCCCGCCACUCACGAUCACAUCAAACUUGGAGUAGAUGUCCACCACACGCCCUAGGGAGACAGAGGCAGCAGCUCAGUAAAAUAACACAGUGUGGUAGCCAAAGCUCUCAGGCCCCAUGGGAUUCCCUUCCAGGUUGGGCUGCUGGGACAGCGACGCGACCCAAGCAGCCUCCCUCUUCUUGCCCAGUCGCUCACCUUUCUCAUCCACUACAGGUAAGGCGGAGACUCGGUGCUGUACAAAGAUGCCCAGAGCCACGUAGACAGGCGUGGUAGUACGGACCAUGGCAAUAUUGGCAUAGGUGCCAAUCUGCAGCUCUUGGAGAGACUUAGACAUGAAUUCCGGCUUGGGGAACUCGGUGAUCUGAGGAAGGGGGCAUUGGCUUGCAGGUGCUUUCCGGAUAGAGCAGGAGGUGCUACGCUCAAUCAUCAACACCAACACCGCUCCUCUGUCCCCAAACCGCUCUGUGUGUGUCUGCAGUUCAGCACGUAAUCGGAUGAUGGCCUGAGGUUACUUACAAACAACUUGAGGAACUUGAGGAUCCGCUUGUGAGUAAGGAUGUACAAGGUGUUGCCUGACUCUGGGUCGAUAACUGGGAGCCUGUGGAUCUUAUUUCGAAUUAAUGAAGAGACAGCAUCAAACAAGCUGCGAAAAAGUAGAAGAUCAUAGUUAGGUUCCACGGGGCUAACGCCAGGCUGUACAACCCCUUGGAAUGUGUUUACAGUCAGAAAAAACCCACAGUCAGCGCUGUGUGUGGCUGGGCAUGAACUGGUAACUCCUGCACUGGGGCAAACAGAAGAGUCUAAGUUCACGACAGCCUCAACUCUACAGUAAGAGCAAGGCCAGUCUCGGCUGUGUGAGACUUUUUUUUUUUUCUCAAACACACACAGCAUGGCAGUGUGCAUGAGGAGGGGUCCUUCUUCUCUCCUCUCUCAUGCCCCUGAGGUAAACACAAACACACACAGCAUGGCAGUGUGCAUGAGGAGGGGUCCUUCUUCUCUCCUCUCUCAUGCCCCUGAGGUAAACACAAACACACACAGCAUGGCAGUGUGCAUGAGGAGGGGUCCUUCUUCUCUCCUCUCUCAUGCCCCUGAGGUAAACACAAACACACACAGCAUGGCAGUGUGCAUGAGGAGGGUCUUUCUUCUCUCCUCUCUCAUGCCCCUGAGAUAAACACAAAACCAGUACUUACCUGGCAUUUGGAGAGAUGCAGACAAGUGGCUUAAAGGAGUCCUGCAGGUACACCUCUGAAGAGAACAAAACACUGCCACGUGAGUGUCGCCCAGGACACCUCCAUCCCUCAUCUGCCACCCCCACCCAUACCUCUCCACGUCUCUAUCUUGUGCUCCUCCAGUUCGUAGAUCUGCACCUAGAAGCAGAAGCAGCAGCUCUGAACCUCAUGCUCCCCUCGUCAUUAACUCACGGAGCUUUGCUCGCAGGGGAAAACCAGGCACAAUGGACCCCAGGCAGGGCCGUGGUUUUGGCUGGGAGACUCAGGCUCCUUACCAGGGCUGACUUAUAGUAUCGGUGCAAAAUGUUGAUGAAGUCGGUGAUGGUCAGCAUGCCUAGACAAGAGCCAAGAAGAGGGCCUCAGCUCAGCCUGUCCGAGGCUUUUCCCCUCGCCCGGCAACACAUGCCAGUAACCGUAUCCCAGAAACUCCUGCUUACCCACAAAACUCUGCUUCUUACUGUCCCACAAAGGGGCGGCACGAACACCAUUGGUCACCAGGGCAAAAAAGGCUUUCUUUACCUAUGGCCAAGAGAGUAACCUCCUAAGGAGAUCCAUAGAGGGCACAGCUUCGAGGAAGAGCAGGGUUGGUGUGUGGGGAAAUAUGACGAAUGCUGACAGGCCUUGGACCAGCGCAGGAGGAAGGGCUCUACCCACCUGUAGCGAAGUGUCAAAUACCACCAACUUGGAACUUGUGGGAAUUAGGUCAUAGCAGCGAUGAGACUUCAUGAAGGAAGUAUACACACUAUUGUUUGAUUCCGGGGUCUCUGCACAGAGUGAAAAAGUUGGUGUGUUUCUUUUAUGUAAGAAGUCACCAUCAGAAGAGACAGAAACCAAAAAUGGCUUUUGUUUUGUUCUUACUGCCUCUUGUCUUUUUUUUUUUCUUCCUUCCUUUUUUUUCGUUUGUUUGUUUUUGUUUUUCGAGACACCACGUCCAGCUUCCUUCCUUUCUUUCUAAGAAUUACUUAGCUGGGCAGUGGUGACAUAUGCCUUUAAUCCCAGCACUUGGGAGGUAGAAUUUCUGAGUUUGAGGUCAGCCUGGUCUACAGAGUGAGUU